GAUAAUCGGGAGAAAUCCCGUCUAAUACCGCGUAACGCCGCGGGGCUGCAUGGCCCUGCGGCCAAAGGAAGCGAUUCCGGCAACGGAUGGGCAUGCGUGACAUUAGCUAGUUGGCGGGGCAACGGCCCACCAAGGCGACGAUGUCUAGGGGUUCUGAGAGGAAGGUCCCCCACACUGGUACUGAGACACGGACCAGACUCCUACGGGAGGCAGCAGUGAGGAAUAUUGGUCAAUGGGCGCGAGCCUGAACCAGCCAAGUCGCGUGAGGGAUGACGGCCCUACGGGUUGUAAACCUCUUUUGUCGGGGAGCAAAUUCCGCCACGUGUGGCGGAGUCGAGAGUACCCGAAGAAAAAGCAUCGGCUAACUCCGUGCCAGCAGCCGCGGUAAUACGGAGGAUGCGAGCGUUAUCCGGAUUUAUUGGGUUUAAAGGGUGCGUAGGCGGACUGUCAAGUCAGCGGUAAAAUACGGGGGCUCAACCUCCGCCCGCCGUUGAAACUGACGGUCUUGAGUGGGCGAGAAGUAUGCGGAAUGCGUGGUGUAGCGGUGAAAUGCAUAGAUAUCACGCAGAACUCCGAUUGCGAAGGCAGCAUACCGGCGCCCAACUGACGCUGAAGCACGAAAGCGUGGGUAUCGAACAGGAUUAGAUACCCUGGUAGUCCACGCAGUAAACGAUGAAUAC
rnacentral:rRNA from 1 species